GAUGAACGCUGGCGGCGUGCCUAAUACAUGCAAGUCGAGCGAACAGACGAGGAGCUUGCUCCUCUGACGUUAGCGGCGGACGUGUGAGUAACACGUGGAUAACCUACCUAUAAGACUGGGAUAACUUCGGGAAACCGGAGCUAAUACCGGAUAAUAUAUUGAACCUCAUGGUUCAAUAGUGAAAGACUGUUUUUCUGUCACUUAUAGAUGGAUCCUCGCCGCAUUAGCUAGUUGGUAAGGUAACGGCUUACAAAGGCAACGAUGCGUAGCCGACCUGAGAGGGGGAUCGGCCACACUGGAACUGAGACACGGUACAGACGACUACGGGAGGCAGCAGUAGGGAAGAUUCCGAAAUGGGCGAAAGCAUGACGGAGCAAAGCCGCGUGAGUGAUGAAGGUCUUCGGAUCGUAAAACUCUGUCAUUAGGGAAGAACAAAUGUGUAAGUAACGAUGCACGUCUUGACGGUAACUAAUCAGAAAGCCACGGCUAACUACGUG
rnacentral:rRNA from 1 species